GAAAUGCGAUAGCUAGUGUGAAUUGCAGAUUUUAGUGAAUCAUCGAGUCUUUGAACGCACAUUGCGCCCUUUGGUAUUCCUCAGGGCAUGUCUAUUCGAGCGUCGUUUCGACCUCGAGCGUAGCUUGGUGUUGAGGCCUGUCGCCCCGGCGGCAUCCUUUAAAAGCAUUGGCGGCAGCGCAGCUCAAUCGCAACAAAAUGCGUGCAAAGCGGCCAACUGCCCGCCAUAACUUUCCCGUCAGGGACUUUUUACCAGCUCGACCUCGAAUUAGACAGGGAUACCCGCUGAACUUAA
rnacentral:misc_RNA from 1 species